rnacentral:rRNA from 1 species
ACGUCUACAUUAGACUACCCCGUAGUCCCAGCCGUAAACUAUGCUCGCUAGGUGUCAGGCAUGGCGCGACCGUGUCUGGUGCCGCAGGGAAGCCGUGAAGCGAGCCACCUGGGAAGUACGGCCGCAAGGCUGAAACUUAAAGGAAUUGGCGGGGGAGCACAACAACGGGUGGAGCCUGCGGUUUAAUUGGACUCAACGCCGGACAACUCACCGGGAACGACAGCAAUAUGUAGGCCAGGCUGAAGACCUUGCCUGAAUCGCUG